AGAGUUUGAUCCUGGCUCAGGAUGAACGCUAGCGGCAGGCUCAACACAUGCAAGUCGAGGGACGGUAGCAAUACUGGACCGGCAAACGGGUGCGGAACACGUACGCAACUUACCCCAAACAGGUGAAUAGCCUUCUGAAAAGGAGAUUAAUACACCGUAAGAUAUAGGAGUGGCAUCAUUUUUAUAUAAUAGCUGAGGCGGUUUGGGAUGGGCGUGCGCCUGAUUAGGUAGUUGGUGGGGUAAAGGCUCACCAAGCCAACGAUCAGUAACUGGUGUGAGAGCACGACCAGUCACACGGGCACUGAGACACGGGCCCGACUCCUACGGGAGGCAGCAGUGAGGAAUAUUGGGCAAUGGACGGAAGUCUGACCCAGCCAUGCCGCGUGAAGGAUGAAGGCGUUCUGCGUUGUAAACUUCUUUUAUCUGGGAAGAAACCUACGAUUUCUAUUGUAGCUGACGGUACCAGAGGAAUAAGCACCGGCUAACUCCGUGCCAGCAGCCGCGGUAAUUCGGAGGGUGCAAGCGUUAUCCGGAUUUACUGGGUUUAAAGGGUGUGUAGGCGGAUAAUUAAGUCAGUGGUGAAAUCUCCGAGCUCAACUCGGAAACUGCCAAUGAUACUAUUUAUCUUGAAUAUUGUUGAGGUAGGCGGAAUAUGUCAUGUGGCGGUGAAAUGCAUAGAUAUGACAUAGAACACCGAUUGCGAAGGCAGCUUGCUAAACAAUUAUUGACGCUGAGGCACGAAAGCGUGGGGAUCAAACAGGAUUAGAUACCCUGGUAGUCC
rnacentral:rRNA from 1 species